CGAGUCGGCCGGGCGGUCGCGGCACGGGGAACCGGCACCACACGGUGUCAGGCCCCGGGUCGAGGAAAGUCCGGACUCCACAGAGCAGGGCGGUUGCUAACGGCAACCCGAGGUGACUCGCGGGACAGUGCCACAGAAAACAGACCGCCUGCCCUUCGGGGCAGGUAAGGGUGAAACGGUGCGGUAAGAGCGCACCAGCACCCCGGGUGACCGGGGUGGCUCGGUAAACCCCGCCCGGAGCAAGGUCGAAGGGCGCACCGCUUGCGGUGCGUCUGCGCAGGUGUUCGAGGGCUGCUCGCCCGAGCCUGCGGGUGGACCGCUCGAGGUACCCGGCGACGGUGUGCCCAGAUGGAUGGCCGCCACCCCGCCCUCGGCGGGGGACAGGAUCCGGCUUACAGGCCGGCUCGUUCG
rnacentral:RNase_P_RNA from 1 species